rnacentral:rRNA from 1 species
UACGAAGGGAGCUAGCGUUGUUCGGAAUCACUGGGCGUAAAGCGCACGUAGGCGGACGUGUCAGUCAGGGGUGAAAUCCCGGAGCUCAACUUCGGAACUGCCUUUGAUACAGCACGUCUUGAGUCCGGAAGAGGUGGGUGGAAUUCCUAGUGUAGAGGUGAAAUUCGUAGAUAUUCGGAAGAACACCAGUGGCGAAGGCGGCUCACUGGCCCGGUACUGACGCUGAGGUGCGAAAGCGUGGGGAGCAAACAGG